rnacentral:rRNA from 1 species
CCCGGCACAAGCGGUGGAGUAUGUGGUUUAAUUCGAUGCAACGCGAAGAACCUUACCUGGUCUUGACAUCCCGGAGACCCUUAGGAAACUAGGGGGUGCUUCCAUCUGGAAGAAUCUGGAGACAGGUGCUGCAUGGCUGUCGUCAGCUCGUGUCGUGAGAUGUUGGGUUAAGUCCCGCAACGAGCGCAACCCUUGCCUUUAGUUGCCAGCAGUUCGGCUGGGCACUCUAAAGGGACUGCCGGUGUUAAACCGGAGGAAGGUGGGGAUGACGUCAAGUCCUCAUGGCCUUUAUGACCAGGGCUACACACGUACUACAAUGGCCGAUACAAAGGGCAGCGACACUGCGAGGUGAAGCCAAUCCCGUAAAAUCGGUCUCAGUCCGGAUUGGAGUCUGCAACUCGACUCCAUGAAGUUGGAAUCGCUAGUAAUCGUGGAUCAGCAUGCCACGGUGAAUACGUUCCCGGGCCUU